CAGUGACCAGAACCAAGGAGAUGAUUCUGCGAAAGUUAGUCAGAAGAACCAAAGACAUACUUGGAGCCCCGAAAAACAACAGGAUUAUUCAAGAUCUUACUAUAAUCGCUGCCUGUGCACCUUCUGCUAGUGGGAAUGACAUCAGCCCACGCCUCCUCAAACACUUCUCCAUACUGGUAUUACCUCAUCCUCCACAGACCGUGUUAUGUACUAUCUUCCAGGUAAUGCGUCUAGCUUGUC
rnacentral:lncRNA from 1 species